rnacentral:rRNA from 1 species
GGAUGCGAUCAUACCAGAGCACUAAAGCACCGGCUCCCAUCAGAACUCCGAAGUUAAGCUUGCUUGGGCGAGAGUAGUACUAGGAUGGGUGACCUCUUGGGAAGUCCUCGUGUUGCAUUCC